rnacentral:rRNA from 1 species
AAGACCUUGCGCUUUUGGAGCGGCCGAUGUCUGAUUAGCUAGUUGGUGAGGUAAAGGCUUACCAAGGCGUCGAUCAGUAGCUGGUCUGAGAGGACGACCAGCCACACUGGGACUGAGACACGGCCCAGACUCCUACGGGAGGCAGCAGUGGGGAAUUUUGGACAAUGGGGGAAACCCUGAUCCAGCCAUGCCGCGUGAGUGAAGAAGGCCUUCGGGUUGUAAAGCUCUUUCAGCCGGAACGAAACGGUCACAGCUAAUACCUGUGACUACUGACGGUACCGGAAGAAGAAGCACCGGCUAACUACGUGCCAGCAGCCGCGGUAAUACGUAGGGUGCGAGCGUUAAUCGGAAUUACUGGGCGUAAAGCGUGCGCAGGCGGUUUUGUAAGUCAGAUGUGAAAGCCCCGGGCUCAACCUGGGAACU